ACCGACUUCACAUGAUUAAUGACAAGUACCCUACAAAAUAGGGUUUCCAAAUUGUCCUUCAGACCACUCUUUGUCUUUCUCUGCCGCUAAAAUGCUAUUGUGAAAGCCAAGCUCAGGUUUCCUCCUCCUACGCCUUUGGGUUAUCAACAUUCUCCACAAUGUCUUUGAUGCUCCGUCUAUUUCAGCUAACAAAGGUGUACCGUUAGGUGGGAGAGUUUACGAAAAACUCGAAGAGGGUCAAAACCUUAUGCCUUAGCUUUGCAGAUCCAUGUUAGUAACCCCCAUCCCCAUUUCUCCAUCCUCGAUUUCUUCUUGCUCCUAUCUUAUUCUCUCAUAUUCCACAGAUGACCGAUAAAAGGGAAAGGACAAGUUUCUCAGAGGUUGCUUCUUAUGGAACUCCUAGUAGGAUGGCACUCAGACAAUAUUUCACAUCUAGUUCUAAGACUCUCGCUUUUUGCUGGUUGAAGUAUCUUUUUUUGCUAGCUGACAUUGUAUAUGUUAGUUAUAAUUCUCACAAAUAUUUUGCUUGUAGCUAGGCCACAAACUAAGGUGUAAAUGUAAUAGCUGUGUGAGUUUGUGGCUCCUUCUAUGCUUAUCAUGCUAUUGAAUGUGAAUAUUGUUGAUCCUCCUUGUUUUAAUCUUGAUUGCUGGUAAUUGAUGUCUGUCCAUGUUAAGAA